GGGGCUGCAUUGGUUUCGACGUGGGUUCGGACGCGGUGUGGUGCAUGUCGAGCUGAAUGUGCUCGUAAAACUGAUUCAAACAAACUAACUGCAAACG
rnacentral:tmRNA from 1 species